CACGGCCGCUCAGACUGCUGGUUUAAAAGUUUACUGCAAGAUUCUGCCAUGUGAGCUACGAAAACAUGGAAGGCUGGCCUGGAAAAGACGGGAUGCGGGGCCCACUUAUAGCCUCACCGAGCACAGGAAAAGCCCUGGCUGACAGAACAUACUGUGCCAAAGAGGAGCACCCACCCCUGGCCAAAUCACAAGGUCCUGCACUACACGAACUGCCACCACCUUGGUCUGGUCAGUGUGCACGUACCAAACCCCAGCAUCCAAGCUUGGGAUAGGGGAGGCAAGAGGAUCUCCCCUCCCCACGUCCCGGAGCCACCCCGCUGCCUCCACUGCAGCUCCCUCUCAGUAUGGGGAGCAAUGCAAGCAGCCCAAGUGCUGUGCAAGCCCAUGUUCCUGCAGCACUCCUAUUCACAAAUCUCUUUCUUUCUUAAAUAUCCCCAUGGAAAAUAAACACGAUGACUAAGAAAA